AUUUCACCUAGGGUUCCGCCAAGAAUGUCAGGACGGUCGUCGAGACACAGGGUUACGAAGUCCUCUCCAUACGCCACCUGGGCAGCUCCUCCGCCCUAGCAAUCACCUUCAAGGGAAAACAGGCUGACAUGAACAAGAAACUUCGAAUAAGAAACUGUAUGGUUGUUGGCUGCACCAAGACCACCAAGCCUCUACACCAGGUGCCCCAAAACUACGAGCUGCGGCGUGCGUGGCUGGAGCGAAUUGGUAUCCCGCCAUCAGACACGCGAACCUACAUAUAUGUGUGUGGACGGCACUUUGCCAUCAGUGCUCACAUGCUAAACCCAGAUCUGGUGGACAAAUCGGACUUCGCUUGUAGGUGGCGGCUGCGGCCAGAUGCGGUGCCAACGCUGUUUCUUCCCACCGAUUCAGCUCCAUUGCAGCAGUACAGCUGUCGUUGUGCGAGGGGCACAGUGUUUACACAGACCACCCCUUCUCAGCGCACUGUUGGUGAACAGACCUCAACAAUGGUUAUGCAUAGGGAUGCUGGCACGCAGAUGGGUCGUCACGUCACGACGGCAACACAGACCGCAGCAUCUUUUUCCCAGCCAUGACCAACGCAGAACAACGAGCAGAACACUGCUUUUCUAAUGUAUUUUGCAGGUGGUCCUCCGGUGACCUACAUGUAGGACAAGCAUCAGCCCAGCCAAGUUUAUUUCAAGGUGCAAUGUGCUGGUAAGAGGCAGGCAUGCACUGCCUAGAGCAGCCUAGAGUCAUCGGCUGUCCCUACGUAGGGGUUGGGACGUUGGGUUUCCGAAGCCAACGGAAUCGGAAGUCUUACUUCAACCAAAAGAAGUACCCCUCUACGUUAUGUCAAAGCAUCCUUUUAAACAUGUUCAUACUUUUGUGAUUCAAUGCAUAAAACAGCAUUUUAUUAAAACAAGUAACUGGAACACCAAUGCAUUUCAUCGGACACUUUGAAAAUGAAUAUCUCGAAGCUUGUGCAGUCAUCAGAAUUAAUUCCAAGUGGAUACACCUUGUGAACUUACCAGCUAUAAUUCAUAGAUUUGAAUAUGUGCCAUAAUGCAAUUAAUUAAAAAGUUUAUUAGUGUAAUUAUGUUAGUUAUAUAAUUAAGCAUUUUGAUUUCUCAUAAAACUAAUGGCCACCUCAUCGAGUAAUUUAGAUCAAGGGUUAGAGUUGUGCUAUCUGCCUCAGGCAAUUUUUUUAAAUUUUGGACCUCCUGAAAAAAAAAAAAGUCACAGUUCGAAAGGCGAAGCAUUGAUUGCAAUAGUAAAUUAUUAGACAGCUAUAUGGAGUAAGGAUAGUAGUUUUAUCGGCAGUAUAAACUUGUGAACAUUCGCUUACUAAUUCAACAAGCAUGGUCUCAUGCGCACUCAAGCAAACAUGAACACAUCUCACUUGAUGACCGCGGAAGCUUGGUGUCAAAAUGCUGAAGUGAGGAAGCGCGGCAGUAACAUCGAGCGAAUUGACCUUCGUGCUGCCUCUCGCUUCAGUGCAAACUCUGUCCCCAUCGCCGAUCGCUUUCAAGAUUUGACUCACGCGAUCACCCUAUGUGCAGCAGCCGCCGGUGCAGAACAAGCCGCCCCCCCCCCUCCCUCCCCUCACCCCAGUACCUUGCGCACACGAGAUUGAGCUGCCACCGUCGGCUUACCCUUGCAUGCUUUCAUUCGCACAUACAGCAUACGGCGUGCAGUGACGAUGUUAUCGCCCUUCGACUUUAUACGUAACAUCACGGCGACACCAAUGGCGACACAAACUGCGCCAAUGACAGCAGAAAUGCAUCUGGAGUGUCCAUAUAAUUGCCAUCGUAAUAAAAACAACACACAGUAUAAAUAUUAAGAUACAUGUCAUUCUCUUGGUGAUUCAGCAAUAUAAGCAAUAUUUCGACUUAUCCAUUUUCAAUGUAACCAAGUGACUGCAGCUGUUUCAAUUUGAAAAAGAAAAUACUAUCUUUUGUGCAUGCAUGUUUCAUAGGUGGAUACAAUCUGGGUGGCUCAGCUUACCCCUUGCUGCAUCGACUCCUGACACUAUACAAGGCUACAAUGAAAGGGCACGAUGCAAAGAAAUCUACAGUUGUCUUCACAGCCUGCAGAGGGGGAUACUUGAGUGCACCUUUGGACUGCUGAAAAACCUGUUCUGACGCCUCUUCAAUGCAGCAUCCAUAAUGAAGACAAUAAUCAUCGGAGCAUGGGUUCUUCGGAACUUGUGCAUUUGCUUCAAUGAUUAGGACAGUGAUGGAUGAACUGCCGACAUAGUCCAUAGCUACUCUGUCGUGUGCUGAUGACAGUGGCAUUGAGCCCAGGCCAAGCAGAUUGAGAGAUUGUAUUGUGAGAAUGCAGUAAACAGUUGGGUUCUG